rnacentral:rRNA from 1 species
GAUGAACGCUGGCGGCGUGCCUAAUACAUGCAAGUCGAGCGAACAGACGCGGAUCUUGCUCCUCUCACGUUAGCGGCGGACGGGUGAGUAACACGUGUAUACCCUCCCUAUAUGACUGGGAUAACUUCGGAACACCGGCUAUAAUCCCGGAUAAUCUCCUGCUGCACAUGGUUCAAUAGUAAAAUACGGUUUUGCUGUCACUUCUCGCUGGUUCCGCGCUGCAUUAGCUGGUUGUUAAGUUCAAGGCUUAUCAAGGCAACGAUGCGUAGCCGAACUGACAGGGGGAUCGGCCACACGGGAACUGAAACACGGUCCAGACUCCUACGGGAGGCAGCAGUAGGGAAUCUUCCGCAAUGGGCGAAAGCCUGACGGAGCAACGCCGCGUGAGUGAUGAAGAUCUUCGGAUCGUAAAACUCUGUUAUUAGGGAAGAACAAAUGUGUAAGUAACUAUGCACGUCUUGACGGUACCUAAUCAGAAAGCCACGGCUAACUACGUG